UUCUACUGUCAGUAUCACUGAGUCUCUGCAAAAUCAAUCAAAUCCAUCAGGAGGAAGACAGUCAGAUCAUAUGGUUGUGAUUUAUUGUGUUGCUGGUGGAUGUUUGAUGAUUGUAGCUUCAGUUCUGAUCUUCUGGAUCUACAGGAAACACAAUAACACACAACAACAGGAUCAGACCUGUGAAGAUGAGAUCACUUAUGCUGAUACAACAUUUUACAAGCGAAAAGCACAGACAAAGAGAGUUAAAGAUGAAGAUGAUGUGGUGUAUGCAGGUGUCGUCAGAUGUUGAUCAACUGGCUCUGAUUCUGUCUUAUAUAAAUACCGUUCAUAUCACAAUUUCUAUCAUUUUUAGUUUUACUAAAUGUUAUUUCUUUAAAUAAGUGUUUUUAUUUUAUUUAUUAGCAACUAAAAAAAUUCUGGACGUACAUAUAAGAUAACAAUGGUGGAUGAUUGCAUUAUCCUUUCCAUGAUAAAGAAAACCCCCUUUACAAUGUCCAGAUAUCCAGACAAAUGAAGAACACUUUACAGGAGGUAAAGAUGUCAUUGUCAAUCAAAACAAUAAAUAGAAUAUGUUACAAGGAGAAAUACAAAGGGUUCACCACAAGAUACAAAAGCCUCAAGAAUAGGAAGGGGAGAUUAGACUCCAAAAAAGUAAACUAAUAUCAACUUGUAUAAGACUAAUGAAUAAAGAUGACGGAGAAGGUUAAGAACAUUUCAUGAUACGAGCAGGCAACAUCUUUAGUAAAAUACUGUAGUGUUCAGGCAGUGUGAAUGUAUUUCCAUGCAUGGCUUCCUAAGGCAGUGUUUCCAAACCUUUUUUCUGCCACGGCACAGUUUUGAUAUAAGUAAAAAAUUUAAUUUAAAGUAAAUUACAUUUAAUGCGAAACUUGAUAUUGUUUUGAUGAACACAAAUGAUAUCCUGGCUGGAAUUGAUGACAGUGACACACGCAGCUGUGACCAAUUCAGCAACCUUGUAGCUAACUUUAAGUGCUUUUUCAAACACUGUGACAGUGUUAUAUUCCAUGGCACACCAAACAAGGGGUCACGGCACACUAGUGUCCUGACUCCUAAGGCACUGGGUCGCUGGUGUUUUUUGUUAAUGUAACAUUAGCCAGAAGCAUUCAGAUUCAUUUUUCACUUCUCUGGACAUGUAAAUGGGUUUUUCUUUAUCAUGGAGAGGAUAAUGUGAUCAUCCACCACUGUUAUCCUAUAUAGACAUAUAAGAUUUUUAUGUUGCCGAGUUCACCAGUGUGUUAUUUUUUGUCAGAAUGUACCAAUUGUAAAUCUAACUCAUUGUAUUUUAAUGGCUCACUAUGAGCUUCAAGGAACUAACUGAAGUCUCCAUGAAUUAUGUGACGGCCAGGGCCGGAGUGGGACUCAUUUUCAGUCCUGGGGCCUCAUUUAUCAAGCGUGCGUACGAACAGAAGUGUGCGUAAAGUGUGCGUAGGAACAGUUUUACGCAAAGUGUGGAAUUUAUCAAAUUGCACUUAUACGUAGAAAUGUGUGUAAAUAUACGCACACCUCGGAGAAUGCGUACGCAGAGCAUCUAGUGGUAGAAUAGCGAUACUACACAGGACCGUCCAUCCCCAGUGUUAAAAGAACACUUUGCCUAUUUAUUAUCUACGGAAGCC